AUUGAACGCUGGCGGCAUGCCUAACACAUGCAAGUCGCGCGGGGUGUAGCAAUACAUCUAGCGGCGGACGGGUGAGGAACACAUAGGAAUUUGCCUUUAGGUGGGGGAUAGCCCAGGGAAACUUGGAGUAAUACCGCAUGAUGUCGAAAGACCAAAGCAGGGGAUCGCAAGACCUUGCGCCUUUAGAGAAGCCUAUGUCUGAUUAGCUAGUUGGUAGGGUAAUGGCCUACCAAGGCGACGAUCAGUAACUGGUCUGAGAGGACGAUCAGUCACACCGGAACUGAGACACGGUCCGGACUCCUACGGGAGGCAGCAGUAGGGAAUAUUGGACAAUGGGGGCAACCCUGAUCCAGCCAUGCCGCGUGAGUGAAGAAGGCCCUCGGGUUGUAAAGCUCUUUUGUCCGGAAAGAAAAGCAAUCGGUUAAUACCCGGUUGUUCUGACGGUACCGGAAGAAUAAGCACCGGCUAACUACGUGCCAGCAGCCGCGGUAAGGA
rnacentral:rRNA from 1 species